rnacentral:rRNA from 1 species
AUUGAACGCUGGCGGCAUGCCUUACACAUGCAAGUCGAACGGUAACGCGGGGCAACCUGGCGACGAGUGGCGAACGGGUGAGUAAUGUAUCGGAACGUGCCCAGUUGUGGGGGAUAACUGCUCGAAAGAGCAGCUAAUACCGCAUACGACCUGAGGGUGAAAGCGGGGGAUCGCAAGACCUCGCGCAAUUGGAGCGGCUGAUAUCAGAUUAGGUAGUUGGUGGGGUAAAGGCUCACCAAGCCAACGAUUUGUAGCUGGUCUGAGAGGACGACCAGCCACACUGGGACUGAGACACGGCCCAGACUCCUACGGGAGGCAGCAGUGGGGAAUUUUGGACAAUGGACGCAAGUCUGAUCCAGCCAUGCCGCGUGCGGGAAGAAGGCCUUCGGGUUGUAAACCGCUUUUGUCAGGGAAGAAACGCUCUGGGUUAAUACCUCGGGGUAAUGACGGUACCUGAAGAAUAAGCACCGGCUAACUACGUGCCAGCCGCCGCGGUAA